rnacentral:lncRNA from 1 species
GGACAAUUUUCAAGGUAUAUGUAAAUUAAAAUAUGUCAUAUCACAACUAUGUUCUCUAAUUAACUCUCUUACAUAAAACAUGACUUAGGGCUUUUUUUUAAAAAAAUGGGUUUUUUUGUGCAGUGUUCCAUGAGAGUCAUGAUAAAUGAAGGCUUAAUCAAGAUCUAGUACCUGCAGAAGAAUCAAGCUAGUUCUUCACAAUUAAGCAUUUAGGUACACAGCUUCUCAGCAUUUAUAUAAACCUACAGUAGUGUCCAAUGUUAUACUCCCAGGGAUUCCAGUUGUGGAGAGCUCUUGCAGGAAGACAAGCUUGAAUGCUCCAAGAUUUAUAUUCUGAUCUCAAGAAGGCACAGCAUUUUUGAUCUCCUUUGUAGAGGAGGAUUAAUCAGAAAUACUCCUGAAUUUAACCAUUCCACUGGCAGAAUAAAAGUUCUCAUACUGUGAAAGAAAAUCUUCCUGCUCAGGCAAAAAGGUAUGAUAAUUCAAGUUCUAAAGAC